rnacentral:rRNA from 1 species
GACGAACGCUGGCGGCGUGCUUAACACAUGCAAGUCGAACGGAAAGGCCCUGCCUUGGUGGGGUGCUCGUAUGGCGAACGGGUGAGGAACACGUGAGUAACCCUCCCUUUACUUCGGGAUAACUUCAGGAAACUGGGGCUAAUACCGGAUAGGUGCUCCUGCUGCAUGGGGGGGGUUGGAAAGGUUGGGCUUGUGGGGAUGGACUCGCGGCUUAUCAGCUUGUUGGUGGGUUAGUGGCUUACCAAGGCUUUGACGGGUAGCCGGCCCGGGAGGGUGACCGGCCACCAUGGGACUGAGAUACGGAGCAGACUGCUACGGGAGGCAGCAGUGGGGAAUAUUGCACAAUGGGCGCAAGCGUGAUGCAGCAACGCCGCGUGCGGGAUGCCGGCCUUCGGGUUGUAAACAGCUUUCGACGGUGACGAAGCGUGAGUGACGGUACUGGGUAAAGAAGCACUGGCUAACUACGUG